rnacentral:rRNA from 1 species
UACGUAGGCAGCGAGCGUUGUUCGGAGUUACUGGGCGUAAAGGGUGCGUAGGCGGUUGUUUAAGUUUGGUGUGAAAUCUCCCGGCUCAACUGGGAGGGUGCGCCGAAUACUGAAUGACUAGAGUGCGGGAGAGGAGAGUGGAAUUCCUGGUGUAGCGGUGAAAUGCGUAGAUAUCAAGUGGAACACCAGUGGCGAAGGCGAGUCUCUGGACAUUUCCUGACGCUGAGGCACGAAAGCCAGGGGAGCAAACGGG